rnacentral:lncRNA from 1 species
UUUGAAAUCAAAAAAUCUAUAUCUCGGCCUUGACCUUGGUCAUCCCCAGUUUGUCUUGAUUUUCACCUCAAAUGGGUUUGAUUUUCAUUUAGGAUUGGCUUGAUUUUUACUUCGGAUUAGUCUUGAUUUUGACUUUGGAUUGUCUUGAUUUUUACCUCUAAUUGGCUUGAUUUUUGCUUCGGAUUGGUCUUGAUCUUCACCCUCUUA